GACCAGACUCCUACGGGAGGCAGCAGUGGGGAAUAUUGCACAAUGGGGGGAACCCUGAUGCAGCGACGCCGCGUGGGUGAAGGAGCACCUCGGUGCGUAAAGCCCUAUCGGCAGGGAAGAAAAGCGAACAGGUUCGCCUGGACGGUACCUGACUAAGAAGCCCCGGCUAACUACGGGCCAGCAGCCGCGGUAAUACGUAGGGGGCAAGCGUUAUCCGGAUUUACUGGGUGUAAAGGGAGCGUAGACGGCCAGACAAGUCUGAAGUGAAAAUCCAGCGCUUAACGUUGGAAGUGCUUUGGAAACUGCCGGGCUGGAGUGCAGGAGGGGCAGGCGGAAUUCCUAGUGUAGCGGUGAAAUGCGUAGAUAUCAGGAGGAACACCGGCGGCGAAGGCGGCCUGCUGGACCGUGACUGACGUUGAGGCUCGAGAGCGUGGGGAGCAAACAGGAUUAGAUACCCUAGUA
rnacentral:rRNA from 1 species